UACAGAGGGGGCAAGCGUUAUUCGGAAUUAUUUGGGCGUAAAGGGCGCGUAGGCGGCUUGGCAAGUGGAUGGUGAAAGUCCCUCGGCUUAACCGAGGAACGGCCGUCCAAACUGCUUCGCUUGAGACCGGGAGAGGUGAGUGGAAUUCCCAGUGUAGCGGUGAAAUGCGUAGAUAUUUGGGAGGAACACCAGUGGCGAAGGGCGGCUCACUGGACCCGGUACUGACGCUGAAGCGCGAAAGCGUGGGUAGCAAACAGG
rnacentral:rRNA from 1 species